rnacentral:rRNA from 1 species
GAUGAACGCUGGCGGCGUGCCUAAUACAUGCAAGUCGAGCGAAUUGAUUAGAAGCUUGCUUCUAUGACGUUAGCGGCGGACGGGUGAGUAACACGUGGGCAACCUGCCUGUAAGACUGGGAUAACUUCGGGAAACCGAAGCUAAUACCGGAUAGGAUCUUCUCCCUCAUGGGAGAUGAUUGAAAGAUGGUUUCGGCUAUCACUUACAGAUGGGCCCGCGGUGCAUUAGCUAGUUGGUGAGGUAACGGCUCACCAAGGCAACGAUGCAUAGCCGACCUGAGAGGGUGAUCGGCCACGCUGGGACUGAGACACGGCCCAGACUCCUACGGGAGGCAGCAGUAGGGAAUCUUCCGCAAUGGACGAAAGUCUGACGGAGCAACGCCGCGUGAGUGAUGAUGGCUUUCGGGUCGUAAAACUCUGUUGUUAGGGAAGAACAAGUACGAGAGUAACUGCUCGUACCUUGACGGUACCUAACCAGAAAGCCACGGCUAACUACGUGCCAGCAGCCGCCGUAAGAC